AACGCUAGCUACAGGCUUAACACAUGCAAGUCGACGUUCAGCAUUUCAGUUUGCUUGCAAACUGGAGAUGGCGACCGGCGCACGGGUGAGUAACACGUAUCCAACCUGCCGAUCACUCGGGGAUAGCCUUUCGAAAGAAAGAUUAAUACCCGAUGGAAUAAUCAGACCGCAUGGUCUUGUUAUUAAAGAAUUUCGGUUAUCGAUGGGGAUGCGUUCCAUUACGCAGUUGGUGAGGUAACGGCUCACCAAACCUUCGAUGGAUAGGGGUUCUGAGAGGAAGGUCCCCCACAUUGGAACUGAGACACGGUCCAAACUCCUACGGGAGGCAGCAGUGAGGAAUAUUGGUCAAUGGGCGCAGGCCUGAACCAGCCAAGUAGCGUGGGGGGGGACUGCCCUAUGGGUUGUAAACUUCUUUUAUAUGGGAAUAAAGUUUUCCACGUGUGGAAUUUUGUAUGUACCAUAUGAAUAAGGAUCGGCUAACUCCGUGCCAGCAGCCGCGGUAAUACGGAGGAUCCGAGCGUUAUCCGGAUUUAUUGGGUUUAAAGGGAGCGUAAGUGGACAGUUUAAAUCACUUGUGAAAGUUUGCGGCUCACCCGUAAAAUUGCAGUUGAUAUUGGGCGGUUUUGAGUUCAGUAGAGGUGGGCGGAAAUUGGUGGUGUAGCGGUGAAAUGCUUAGAUAUCACGAAGAACUCCGAUUGCGAAGGCAGCUCACUGGACUGCAACUGACACUGAUGCUCGAAAGUGUGGGGUAUCAAACAGGAUUAGAUACCCUGGUAGUCCACACAGUAAACGAUGAAUACUCGCUGUUUGCGAUAUACAGUAAGCGGCCAAGCGAAAGCAUUAAGUAUUCCACCUGGGGAGUACGCCGGCAACGGUGAAACUCAAAGGAAUUGACGGGGGCCCGCACAAGCGGAGGAACAUGUGGUUUAAUUCGAUGAUACGCGAGGAACCUUACCCGGGCUUAAAUUGCAUUUGAAUAUAUUGGAAACAGUAUAGCCGUAAGGCAAAUGUGAAGGUGCUGCAUGGUUGUCGUCAGCUCGUGCCGUGAGGUGUCGGCUUAAGUGCCAUAACGAGCGCAACCCUUAUCUUUAGUUACUAACAGGUCAUGCUGAGGACUCUAGAGAGACUGCCGUCGUAAGAUGUGAGGAAGGUGGGGAUGACGUCAAAUCAGCACGGCCCUUACGUCCGGGGCUACACACGUGUUACAAUGGGGGGUACAGAAGGCAGCUACCUGGUGACAGGAUGCUAAUCCCAAAAGCCUCUCUCAGUUCGGAUCGAAGUCUGCAACCCGACUUCGUGAAGCUGGAUUCGCUAGUAAUCGCGCAUCAGCCAUGGCGCGGUGAAUACGUUCCCGGGCCUUGUACACACCGCCCGUCAAGCCAUGAAAGCCGGAGGUACAAAAAGUACGUAACCGCAAGGAGCGUCCUAGGGUA
rnacentral:rRNA from 1 species